rnacentral:rRNA from 1 species
AACGAACGCUGGCGGCAGGCUUAACACAUGCAAGUCGAACGGGUGUAGCAAUACAUCAGUGGCAGACGGGUGAGUAACACGUGGGAACCUUCCUAGGGGUACGGAACAACUCAGGGAAACUUGAGCUAAUACCGUAUACGUCCGUGAGGAGAAAGAUUUAUCGCCCUUAGACGGGCCCGCGUCGGAUUAGCUAGUUGGUGGGGUAACGGCCUACCAAGGCGACGAUCCGUAGCUGAUCUUAGAGGAUGAUCAGCCACACUGGGACUGAGACACGGCCCAGACUCCUACGGGCGGAAGCAGUGGGGAAUCUUGGACAAUGGGCGCAAGCCUGAUCCAGCCAUGCCGCGUGAGUGAAGAAGGUCUUCGGAUUGUAAAGCUCUUUUGCCAGGGACGAUAAUGACGGUACCUGGAGAAUAAGCCCCGGCAAACUUCGUGCCAGCAGCCGCCGCCG